UACGUAGGCAGCAAGCGUUGUUCGGAAUUACUGGGCGUAAAGAGUGUGUAGGCGGUGCUCUAAGUCUGUCGUGAAAUCUCCCGGCUUAACUGGGAGGGUGCGGCGGAAACUGGAAUGCUAGAGGGUGGGAGAGGAAAGCGGAAUUCCUGGUGUAGCGGUGAAAUGCGUAGAGAUCAGGAAGAACACCGGUGGCGAAGGCGCUCUGCUAGGCCGCAACUGACACUGAGGGACGAAAGCUAGGGGAGCGAAUGGG
rnacentral:rRNA from 1 species